AUUGAACGCUGGCGGCAUGCCUUACACAUGCAAGUCGAACGGCAGCACGGGUGCUUGCACCUGGUGGCGAGUGGCGAACGGGUGAGUAAUACAUCGGAACAUGUCCUGUAGUGGGGGAUAGCCCGGCGAAAGCCGGAUUAAUACCGCAUACGAUCUACGGAUGAAAGCGGGGGACCUUCGGGCCUCGCGCUAUAGGGUUGGCCGAUGGCUGAUUAGCUAGUUGGUGGGGUAAAGGCCUACCAAGGCGACGAUCAGUAGCUGGUCGGAGAGGACGACCAGCCACACUGGGACUGGGCCACGGCCCAGGCUCCUACGGGAGGCAGCAGUCGGGAAUUUUGGACAAUGGUCGAAAGCCUGAUCCAGCAAUGCCGCGUGUGUGAAGAAGGCCUCCGGGUUGUAAAGCACUUUUGUCGGGAAAAAAAUCCUUGGCCCUAAUACGGUCGGGGGAUGACGGUACCGGAAAAAUAAGCACCGGCUAACUACGUG
rnacentral:rRNA from 1 species